GCGGUGCUCCGGCAGUAGCUGCGUGCCAGCCGCGCCGCCGGAACGGUGCCUCGGCACGCCGGUAGCUGUUCUUCAUUCACGUACGGUUACUGGCCCUGCCGGUGCCGCCAGCGGGAAGGGGAGCCAGCCUUGGCCAUUUUCUCUGCCAGCUGUCCUGUCUGCCUGAGAGCGGGUGUAUGCUUUGUUAGUUCAUUUACAUCACACGCAACUGCAGCACUAAAUUCAUGAACAGACAAGUCCACAACUUCAAGUCUAAAAGUGCUAAUGGUGGAAUAAGAAAUAAGAACUUCAGAAUGAAUCCAGCAGGAAUUUUAUCCAACUGAAUAUUGGAGUUAAGAUCUGGAACAUAGAAUGUUGCAACUGCAUAUGAAAAGACGUAACUUUUUCAUUCAAGAUUGUAUAUUUCAAUUUUUUUUUGUUAUGGAUCCAAACACAGAUACAAGAUUAGACUGAAGUAGGUCAUGAAUCUUUUCCCAUCAGAUUAUUUGAGGCAAUAGGAAUGUAACAAGAAAGUUGUUUACAGUGAAAAUCCUAACCCAAAAUUUGGCAAUAAUGAAGUCUGUCAAACGUAAAGCUUUUAUGUUAAAUUGUAAAAUCUUAAUUUUAAAUUCCAUGUAAGAUUCCAUGGUUAAAUUCUGCUUUUAUAGACAGAUGGUAGGGUUUUUUCUUUGCUUGUUUAUUAUAAAUGUACUUGAGUGCAUCUAUUCAGUUCACUGAAAAAUAUAAUUUGCAAUAUUUUAAUCCAUGAGGCUUAAUUCCUUUGCAAUCGCCAUUUCAAUGUAACAACAGAUUUCACUGUCACUAUUGCUACAAAGGGAUUAAACUCUCCCUGUCAAUUUUGUAUACUGGGCAGGAAAAAAAUGUAAUUGAAGGGUUCAGUCAGUUUUGUUUGGAAGUUUUUGUUUAUUUGUUUUUCCUAAGUGCCACCUCAUUGCAAUUCAUAUUUUCAUAAAUGUUGGAAUAUUCUUUUACCAUAAUAAAACUAUAAAAUGUU